rnacentral:rRNA from 1 species
GGAAGGGUGAGUAAUGUGUAGAUAACGUACCAUGGAGAUGGGCAUAACGGCUCGAAAGAGCCGCUAAUUCCCGAUAAGACCACGGCUGGGCAUCCAGUUGAGGUCAAUUGAGGGGGACCUUCGGGCCUCUCGCUCUGUGACCGGUNNNNNNCCUACCAGCUAGUAGGCGGGGUAAUGGCCCACCUAGGCUGCGACGGGUACCCGGACUAAGAGGUUGAACGGGCACAUCGGCACUGAGACACUGGCCGGACACCUACGGGUGGCUGCAGUUCGGAAUAUUCGGCAAUGGACGAAAGUCUGACCGAGCGACGCCGCGUGCGGGACGAAGGCCCUCUGGGUUGUAAACCGCUUUAGGAAGUGAGCAAACUACUCGGUGUGAACAUCAUCGGGUAUUGAGUUAAGCUUCUAAAUAAGCCCCCGCUAAUCACGUGCCAGCAGCGGCGGUAAUACGUGAGGGGCAAACGUUGUUCGGUGUCACUGGGCUUAAAGGGUGCGUAGGUGGUUACGUAAGUAACGUGUGAAAUCCCCCGGCUUACCCGGGGAAUUGCGCGUUAUACUGCGUGACUUGAGGACUGUAGGGGAAUGGGGAACUCCAGGUGUAGCGGUGAAAUGCGCAGAUAUCUGGGGGAAGGCCGGCGGCGAAGGCGCCAUUCUGGGCAGUUCCUGACACUGAGGCACGAAAGCGUGGGGAGCAAACAGGAUUAGAUACCCUGGUAGUCCACGCCCUAAACGAUGGAUAUUAGCUAGGGGGCCCUGCAAGGGGUUCCUUGGUGUNNNGAAAGCGUUAAAUAU